ensembl:lncRNA
UGUGUGUGUGUGUGUGUGUGUGUGUGUGUGUGUGUGUGUGUGUGUGUGUGUGUGUGAGACUGUGUGUGUCACUGAAGUGUGUUUGAUGAGGUGUGUGUGUGUGUGUUGUGUGUGUGUGUGUGAGACUGUGUGUGUCACUGAAGUGUGUUUGAUGAGAUGUGUGUGUGUGUGUGUGUGUAACGUGGUGUGUGUGUGUCUCAAGCGUUGCAGUCAAUACGAACAUCAACCUCUCGUCUGUUGUUCUUGGUUGUGUUCAUCAUCCGGCAGGCUUUCUCUGCGCUCUCAGGAGAGUCGAAGCACACCCUGCCGCAGCCUUUGGAUUUGCCGUUCUCCCUCUUUAUCUCAGCGUACAUCCCCUGACCUGAAGAACACAGCUGCUGCUCUUGAUUCUAUUAAUGUGCUGCAUAUCAGAAAUGAGAGUUAACACACGUACCACAGUGACUGAACUUCUGCUUGAGCUUCUG